rnacentral:lncRNA from 1 species
UGUGUAAGUGCAUAUACAAAUAUAUAGCUAUACAACUAAAAAUGACCGUAAUCAUUGGCCAAAUUCAGGUCAAGCAGUUGGAAUCUUAGUUUCUUUAUAAUUCUCACUGACGUUACUUUAAUUUCGUUACAUGUGUUUUGAAUGUUUAAAUAUGUGUAGGCUGAAACAGUGGUAUCAUCCAUUGCUGGUAAAUGGAAAUAUAAAAAUAAGGAG